rnacentral:rRNA from 1 species
GACGAACGCUGGCGGUGUGCUGAACACAUGCAAGUCGAACGGAAAGGCUCGGCUUUUGUGCGUUGCGCGUGUCGCGAACGCUUGAGUAACACUUGAGUAACCGGCCCUGGACCUUGGUAUAACUUCAGGAAACUGGUGCUAAUAACGGAUAGUAGCUUCUGCUGCGCGGUGGGGGUUGGACAGUUUCGGCGGUUGGGGCUGGACUCGCGGCUUAUCAGCUUGUUGGUGGGGUAGUGGCUUACCAAGGCUUUGACGGGUAGCCGGCCUGAGAGGGUGACCGGCGACAUUGGGCCUGAGAGACGGCCCAGACUCCUACGGGAGGCAGCAGUGGGGAAUAUUGCAGAAUGGGCGGAAGCCUGAUGCAGCAACGCCGCGUGCGGGAUGACGGGCUUCGGGUUGUAAACCGCUUUCGCCUGUGACGAAGCGUGAGUGACGGUAAUGGGUAAAGAAGCACCGGCUAACUACGUG